rnacentral:lncRNA from 1 species
CCUGGUUUCCUUCUAACUUACCAACAUUCCUUCACAGUCUCUUUUGCUGACUCAUUAUCCUCUAUCUUUAAUAAGAGGUUUUUCAGGGCCCUUUUAUUUUCUCACUAUACUCUUUUCCUUGGCCAUUGCCUCUUCAACCAUGACUUCUAUUACAAUAGGAAUGUCAAUCACUUUCACCUGUCUUCAAUUUAGAUCUUUCCUCUAACACCCGGAUAUGUAAUUCAACUCUUAACUUGAUAUCUCACUUGGAAGAGUUACAAGCCUCUCUGAAAAAAAUCCAUACAGGAUGGAAUGCAUGGCAUUUUCUCUGAAACUUCCUCCCUGUCCAGUGUUAUCUACCUUGGAACGAUUGUCUCAUUUAGAGGGACUCUCUAACCUGAGUACACAUUUGAAACAUCUGAGGGCUUUGAAACAUACCUGCUCCUGGACCACCUGCUGAACCAAUUAAAUCAGAAUUUCUGUUGUGAAGAUCUCCACGUGAGUUUAAGCUUUCCUGCUCAACUGUUAGUUCCAUGAAGGCAACAGCCAUGCCUGCUUCGUUCACUGAAAUAUCUUCGUUUCCUAACACACAGAAAGUCAUCAUUUUUUGACGGAUGAAAGAAUGGAUGAAUGCCUAGUCUUGGAGACAUCUACUUGCAAUAAAGGUUAGAUGAAGGAAAUGGAUGCCAGUGGGAGAUUUGUGGAUCUAUUUCACCAGAUUUCACUCUGCUGACUCAGCAAAAUGGUCCCCGAAGAAAGUGAAGAAACAGAGGCAAAGGGAGCAUAAGCAAUUUUCCAAAGGCCAUACAACAUGUAAGUGGCUGAGCCAAGACUGAAAUCACCAGGUUCUUAACCACUAGGCCAUAUUGCAUUGGAGUGUUGCCUCCUGGAGUAAGACUAGGCUAAAAGCUUCAUAGAAACCUAAAGGAGUUAGAGAAGGAAGAUCUCUCAAUGGAAAUGCUAAGAAGAGACACAAGGAAAGACACAUCACUAAGGAGAGACCCAAGGAAAAUGGCUCUAUGACUACAGUCCAUUUAAAGAAUGAGGGCGUUCCUUCUACCAAGUUACAGGUGGAGAUGUGUUUACCUGCUGGAUACCAAUGCUUCUAGCAUCAGGGAGAAGUUGAGCCCUGGAGGAAACAUUGCCUCUAAGUUUGUGUUCUGGUGCUACAUACUGCAAAGCAAAGUAUCUACAACAACUGCAAUAAGCCACCCUGAUCAUUCUUCAACCUAAAGAUUUGCAACUCAUCCAAGUUCAACUGGUUGAAAGAGCCUGCCUCCUCACAGCAGUGCCUGAUUGACACUAUGAACUGAAAUACUAAAGGCACUUCUUCUUUCAGGAUAACUGAUUAAAUGUUCUGGCUGGUAAAGCAGGUCAUCACUCAACUGUUGUGGCUUUGGCAAGAUGCCACCAAAGCAGCCCAUCAUGGUUGGCAGAGAUGUAAAGGCCCCACAUAUUACAGAACACCCUUUGAUAUGCAGACUAAUUAAUAGAAGACCUAAGCCUUUCAAGGGACUUCUAUACCAUAGGAUGUUAGGAGACAUCAAGAACACAAAUGAAACUAAGAUUUUCAUACAGGGUUCAGGUUUUGUUACUUCAGAUCUAUAAUCUAAAGUUCUGUAAUCAUCACAUCACUCCAAGAACAAAAUUUGAUAGGCAAAAUUCUUCACACUCAUUUCAUGGAGAACCUUGAGGGUCCAGAGUGAGGCUUGAUGGCAAGCAGGAGCUCCCUGUCCCCUGUCUCCACCCAUGCAACCCCUAGCUCCCCCAUUGUUUUCACUCUAGAUUUGUGAAGUAUAACAACCUUAAAAUCUUAAGAUUUAAUCUUUAAAUAUUAAGAGAUUUGGGUUUCUGUAUCAACAAUCUUUAAAUAUUAAGAGAUUUUUCCGAAGAUUAAUGACUUUCCUAGAGUUGGCCUACAAAUUCACCACCUCAACUGGAUGACUUGCUUUGGAAUAAAUUUCUAACACCGCAAGUGAAUUGAAUAUUUUCUUCCUUUUUUAUGUAAUCUAAUAUAGUACAUUUUUAAAAAUUUAUAGGAUGUCCAGACACUUAUAGCUUAUCAUUCUAUGAUUCAAAAGAAUUUGGUAUAAUUGCAUUGAUAAGCUUACUGCCCUGGGCACCAAAGUAACCUAGAAUAUGGAGAAGUAGCUUUUGGUGACAUGCAUCUAUUUAUAUCUCUAGCAUUUACUAAUUAAUUAAUUUGUUUAACAAAUACACAUUCAGUACCAUUAUAUGUUUGGCAUUGUCAUAGAUGUUAGAAAAUCAAAUAUAAAAAAGAGGUAAUUUCUUCACAACACACGGAAAUAAGAGUAUCUCUAGGAAUUGUCUCUAGUUGAAAUUGUUUUCUCCUACCCACCUCUACGAUUCAUCAAUUUAGCUUUCCUUCACUGUAGUGACAGGUGUUUUAAUCUCACCUAACAAUAUGCCUGAUUAAGCUUCAACAUACACAGAGAGAGGCCUGAAAAACAUAACUUGGUCUCUAUGUCUAAGUUUAUGUUGUUAGUAAUAGUUAUAAGAGCCACAGCGAUGGCACCAUGGCGUUACCUUCUCUGAAGGCUUUCCCAGCUUUCCUAGCAAAGCUCUUUUCUCUUCCCUCUGGUUAAAAAAUAAAUAAAAAAAAAAUAAAGGUUUUUCCUUUAUUGUUAUUCUUAUGUGUCUGAUUUUAUCACAUUUAUUGUUUUGUUUUCUGAUUGUAUAAGUCAUACAUGCUCAUUUAGAAAACUUGGAAACUAUGGAAAAAGAGAAAUAAAAAAUAAAAUCCACUCUAAUCUACCUUGUUUCUAUCUCUAAGGUAGCAUUCGUCACUUUGGUAUGAAGUUGAUGUGAGUAGAUCUGUCUAAUCAACUAAAUUUGGAGCUUCUCCUGAGAAGAACGCAUGUAUUCAGCUCUGUAUUCCAGCUGUAGGAAGUGUGUGAUGUAUUGGAAACAUCCCAUAAUUUUGAAUAAGAGCAGCAUCAAGUACACAGAGGACUGCUGGACCUAGAACGAC